rnacentral:tmRNA from 1 species
GGGGGCGUUCCGGAUUCGACAGGGGUAGGUUGAGUUUAAGUCGCAUGUCGAGGUUACGGCUCGUAAAACGUUACACGCCUAUAAUUGGCAAACAAGAUAAUUACGCUUUAGCAGCUGCAUAAGCUGAUCUAAAGGACUCCGUUUGUUAUCGCCCGUGUAAUAAAUUGGAGUCUCACUAACAGCGGGAUAAACAUUCAUCCUCCGUCUGCGGAUAGAGUGUUGAAACCAACCAGACUAGCGUCUAUAAAGCCUGUCAAUGGGCUGAGUAUUCUGCGAAAUAUAAUUUAUUGACUACACAUGUAGAAGCUUAAAUGGCAAUACCUUUGGACGUGGGUUCAAAUCCCACCGCCUCCAU